rnacentral:tRNA from 1 species
AGUCUCAUGGUGUAAUGGCUAGCACUCUGGACUUUGAAUCCAGCAAUCUAAGUCCAAAUCUCGGUGGGACUA